UCAGUCACGUACACGCAACUUUGAUACUACACACUUAAAGAAACGGAACUCAUAGGAAUUCUUAAGAAGUUUUAGUUUUAGCUACGACAAUUAUUUUAUUUAGACUAUUCUGAAAUUGGCAAGCUUUCAAAUUCCUCGAACGGAAAAAAAAGGUAUUUCAACUUUAAAUUAGUCUACUGUAAAGUUCACGCAUUGUCGCUUUGUCACGUUUGCCUUUCAAGCGUCGAUAUACUAAUGCCGUGACAACGAAAGAAUUUCGAUAUUAACCGGCAUUCCUGCAAAACAGCUUGAUACGGCUUUCGCUUGUCAAGAUAUUCAAUCCGUUAUCUUACCUUGACCGGAAUACGCGUAAAUAGAACAAAAGACGAUAACACCGUUGCGAUAGCGUUAAACAAAGACAAAUCAAGGGGAUGUUUGUGGAUCUGAUUGCCCGUAACACUGGAAUCAGUUGACCGUACUAAUUCGGUCAGCGGAAUGCGUUCAGUGGUGCAUAAAAUAUCCCGAGUCCCGACCGGCUGGAAGCGAGGAAAGCGCACGUGAAAAUCGCGUGCCAUUACACACAUCACCUGCUUCGUGUUUCGAAGAAACACGCUCAGUUAAUAAUAUACUGGGUCGAAUGUUUUCGAAAAUAGAAGAUCGUGUUCGAAUUCCGAGUUUGUAAUUAAGUUGCCAGGUUUUAAAUUUGUCAACAAAUAAACUUGUUAAAUAC